rnacentral:rRNA from 2 species
UAGGGAAUCUUCGGCAAUGGGGGGAACCCUGACCGAGCAACGCCGCGUGAGUGAAGAAGGUUUUCGGAUCGUAAAGCUCUGUUGUUAAGGAAGAACGAGUGUGAGAAUGGAAAGUUCAUGCUGUGACGGUACUUAACCAGAAAGGGACGGCUAACUACGUGCCAGCAGCCGCGGUAAUACGUAGGUCCCGAGCGUUGUCCGGAUUUAUUGGGCGUAAAGCGAGCGCAGGCGGUUAGAAAAGUCUGAAGUGAAAGGCAGUGGCUCAACCAUUGUAGGCUUUGGAAACUGUUUAACUUGAGUGCAGAAGGGGAGAGUGGAAUUCCAUGUGUAGCGGUGAAAUGCGUAGAUAUAUGGUGGAACACCGGUGGCGAAAGCGGCUCUCUGGUCUGUAACUGACGCUGAGGCUCGAAAGCGUGGGGAGCGAACAGG